GAUGAACGCUGGCGGCGUGCCUAACACAUGCAAGUCGUACGAAAAAGAAAUUUUUAGUGGCAAACGGGUGAGUAACGCGUGAGGAUUUACUCUUAAGGUAGAGGAUAACUUUUAGAAAUAUUAGCUAAAACUCUAUAUGCUUUUAAUAAGUGAAAAAAGAAAUUUGCCUAAGAAAAGCUCGCGUCUGAUUAGCUAGUUGGUAGGUUAAAGGCCUACCAAGGCGAUGAUCAGUAGCUGGUCUGAGAGGAUGAUCAGCCACACUGGAACUGAGACACGGUCCAGAAUCCGACGGAAGGCAGCAGUGAGGAAUUUUCUGCAAUGGGCGAAAGCCUGACAGAGCAACGCCGCGUGAGGGAAGAAGGACUUCGGGUUGUAAACCUCUUUUCUCAAGGAGGAAGAUCUGAAGUUACUUGAGGAAUAAGCAUCGGCUAACCCCGUGCCAGCAGCAGCGGUAACAC
rnacentral:rRNA from 1 species